rnacentral:rRNA from 1 species
GAUGAACGCUGGCGGCGUGCCUAAUACAUGCAAGUCGAGCGAACAGACGAGGAGCUUGCUCCUCUGACGUUAGCGGCGGACGGGUGAGUAACACGUGGAUAACCUACCUAUAAGACUGGGAUAACUUCGGGAAACCGGAGCUAAUACCGGAUAAUAUAUUGAACCGCAUGGUUCCUUAGUGACAGACGGUUUUGCUGUCACUUAUACAUGGAUCCGCGCCUCAUUAGCUAGUUGGUAAGGUAACGGCUUACCAAGGCAACGAUGCGUAGCCGACCUGAGAGGGUGAGCGGCCACACUGGAACUGAGACACGGACCAGACUCCUACGGGAGGCAGCAGUAGGGAAUCUUACGGAAUGGGCGAAAGCCUGACGGAGCAACGCCGAGUGAGUGAUGAAGGUCUUCGGAGCGUAAAACUAUGGUAUUAGGGAAGAACAAAUGUGUAAGUAACUAUGCACGUCUUGACGGUACCGAAUCAGAAAGCCGCGGCUAACUACGUG